rnacentral:rRNA from 1 species
UACGGGGGGGGGCAAGCGUUGUUCGGAAUUACUGGGCGUAAAGGGCUCGUAGGUGGCCAACUAAGUCAGACGUGAAAUCCCUCAGCUUAACUGGGGAACUGCGCCUGAUACUGGUUGGCUUGAGUGCAGGAGAGGAACGCGGAAUUCCAGGUGUAGCGGUGAAAUGCGUAGAUAUCUGGAGGAACACCGGUGGCGAAGGCGGCGUCCUGGACCAAUACUGACACUGAACAGCGAAAGCCAGGGGAGCAAACGGG